rnacentral:tRNA from 1 species
GGGACAGCCACGGUGGCUAGAUGGUUUCAUGAGCCAUACGCUUGCGGGUUCGACUCCCGCCCCUAGCACCA